CCUACGGGCGGCAGCAGUGAGGAAUCUUUGUCAAUGGGCGUAAGCCUGAUCCAGCCAAGUCGCGUGAGGGAUGAAGGUUCUAUGGAUCGUAAACCUCUUUUAUAAGGGAGUAAAGUGUGGGACGUGUCCUAUUUUGUAUGUACCUUAUGAAUAAGGAUCGGCUAACUCCGUGCCAGCAGCCGCGGUAAUACGGAGGAUCCGAGCGUUCUCCGGAUGUAUUGGGUUUAAAGGGUGCGUAGGCGGCCUUUUAAGUCAGGUGUGAAAGGCUGUGGCUCAACCCUAGAAUGGACGUUGAAACUGGGAGACUUGAGUAUGUGAGAGGCAGGCGGAAUGCGUGGUGUAGCGGUGAAAUGCUGAGAUAUCACGCAGAACCCCGAUGGCGAAGGCAGGCUGCUAAGCCAUAACUGACGCUGAUGCACGAAAGCGUGGGGAUCAAACAGGAUUAGAUACCCUUGUAGUC
rnacentral:rRNA from 1 species